rnacentral:lncRNA from 1 species
UUUUUUUUUUUUUUUUGCUUUAAAAAUAUGCUCUGGCAAAUUCAUUGAGCCUGGACCAUUAAAGAGCAACAGGGAACUCUGAACAACAGGUGCUUGUUUUACAGCUACUGCAAAUGCUUCAAAAGCACUAAAUUGCCUUUUACACUCAACAAUCUAAUAACAAAGACUGAUUUUCUCCCUUUUUCUUCCCCUAAUUGAUUUGAUGGUUCACUUGAGCUUUAAAAACACAUUACAUAAAUCUUUAUGGCUAUUACAAAGUCUUUUGUCAAGUUUAAUUUGGUGUUUGGUUUUUUUUUUCUGCGGUGUAAUCAUUCACCCUUACACACAGUGCACCACACAUACACACACAUCGUGCUUGUCUCUGGAUCCACAGGAAUAGUAAGUUCUAGAGGUUUAUUUUGCAUGGGGAGGGACCUAAAUCCUUCCAAAGGCAGUUUGUCAUGGAAAGCUCCUGGUUCAGAGGUAUAUCGGAACAAGCGCUGAGCACUCCCAAAGGCACCUCCAACAACAGCUCUAUUCUUUCCCGCUAUUUAACUUUACUGUUACAACUUUGCUUGGUCUUGAUAGCCUGUGGUGGAAAUAUUAGCUAGGAUUAACUGAGAGCGUGGGAGAUCCAUCAGUACAGACCUCUCUCCCUGCUGCAGGAUAGAGGGGCAUGUGCUGCUCAGGAGGCAGCAAUGGAGAGCAGGAGCCGGUAGAAAAGCAGUAAGUGUUGAAAAGCCUUCAGGAACACAAUUGGGUACAAAACCCCAACACCUGAGCAGAUGGAAUUAUCUUCACCAGAAGAAGCAGAGAGGCUGUUAAGUGCCAGGCUUCCUCAUCCUUCUUUCUCCUGACCCCUGGGUGUCCAGAUGCCUUUUCACCGUCCUGUUUUUGAAGUGGAGGAUUUCUAUCACUCUUCCCUUUCCUAGCCGUCCCUGCUGCCAUGGUCCAUGAGGAAAGCCUGGCCCUGGAGGUGCACAGGGCCAGGCCUCACUUUGUAGAAAAUGAAGAAGGAGGGGCUGAUAGAAGUAGGAUGCUCUCACUGCUCUCCCACCGAUUACCUCUCUCGGCGUUAUGACCACUCAGCAAAGUGCUUGGCUCUCUGAAGAACGCGACAGCGUAGACAGGGCUUGGCACUGUAAGGAGAAGUUGGGGUUGUGCUCGUGAGGGAGCUGGAGAUGAAGGAGUAAAUCAGAAAGAACCCAGUUAGAUGCACAGAGGUGUAUCUCCACCCUGAGCUUCUCAGGACCGGGAGCCCAGUGAGCCUCUCAGUUGCUGGUUUCAGGUGCAUUUGGUGCUCAAAUAUCUCAUGUGCACCCACCAGAAAUUUUGUGGAUUCUGCUUUUGCGGCCAGUGCUGUAAAUCUGGAGUAGCAACACUGACUUCCCUGGCUGUGUUUGGAGCAGCAUAGAACCUGGCUUCAUGUCAUAACCGCUGUAAAGGCAGGAUGGGUCAGAUUCCCUGGUGGAGCACGACUGAGCAGUGGGAGGCAGCACUCUAUUAAUGAAGCUAUUAUUCAAACGAAGAAGAAAAGAGAGGGGUGGCGCUGCUGGUGACACUGCCCGGCGUUGCUGGGGGUCACAGUAAGGAGAUCCGCACGGCCAGCAGGGACAGCAGAGCUGGCAGCAGGGCACAGCUGCUGCGCGGGGCCAGCGGUGCCAAGGGGGCCGUGUUUCGGAGCAUGCACUCCACCCUGGACCAGGAGCCAUUGUUGGGCAGCGGCUGUAUCCCUGCCAGGCUGCACAUGAUGUUGUAAACAUCCACGGAUCUGAUGGGAGGCGCUCGGAAGUUGGAUCGGAAAUCUG